rnacentral:rRNA from 1 species
CCUACGGGAGGCUGCAGUGGGGAAUAUUGCACAAUGGGCGCAAGCCUGAUGCAGCCAUGCCGCGUGUGUGAAGAAGGCCUUCGGGUUGUAAAGCACUUUCAGCGGGGAGGAAGGCGUUAAGGUUAAUAACCUUGUCGAUUGACGUUACCCGCAGAAUAAGCACCGGCUAACUCCGUGCCAGCAGCCGCGGUAAUACGGAGGGUGCAAGCGUUAAUCGGAAUUACUGGGCGUAAAGCGCACGCAGGCGGUCUGUCAAGUCGGAUGUGAAAUCCCCGGGCUCAACCUGGGAACUGCAUUCGAAACUGGCAGGCUAGAGUCUUGUAGAGGGGGGUAGAAUUCCAGGUGUAGCGGUGAAAUGCGUAGAGAGCGGGAGGAAUACCGGUGGCGAAGGCGGCCCCCGGGACAAAGACUGACGCUCAGGUGCAAAAGCGUGGGGAGCAAACAGGAUUAGAUACCCGUGUAGUC